rnacentral:lncRNA from 1 species
AUGAUUGGAAUGAGCAAGACAUUAGUGAGUUUGUUGCUUUUUGAUGGAACCAAAUGGCAGAACUCUGAAGCGGACAUCGAGCAUCGAACACAGGCCUUGAAGCGUGAGGGUUUCUGGUCAACGAAGCGCCUCAGCCGCCUGACGGAGCCUCAGCGACCCAAAGUUCAUUGGGAUUACUUGUGCGAGGAGAUGCAGUGGCUUUCUGCUGACUUUGCUCAAGAGAGACGCUGGAAGAGAGGCGUGGCCAGAAAGGUGGUCCGAAUGGUGGUGCGACAUCACGAAGAGCUUCGGCAAAAAGAGGAAAAAGCAAAAAGAGACGAACAUGCCAAAAUCAGAAAAAUUGCCUCCAAUAUCGCAAAGGAAAUCCGAUCUUUCUGGAGUAAUGUUGAGAAGGUGGUUCAGUUCAAGCAGCAGUCCAGGCUGGAGGAGAAGCGGAAGAAGGCUUUAGAUUUGCAGCUGGACUUCAUCGUAGGCCAGACGGAGAAAUACUCCGACCUUCUCAGCAAGUCACUGGCUCCCAGCAGUCUGCAUGUUUUCUCUACCAAAACCCCUUAUCUCCACACAGACAGAGACUUCGAGCCUCCGUGUGAAGAGGAAGAUGACGAGGAAACCAUAGAGGUUGAGGAGCAGCAGGAGGGCAAUGAUGCUGAGAGCCAUCAGAGGGAAAUUGAACUACUGAAGGAAGAGAGCAUGUUGCCCCUUGAUCAACUUCUCAGCACUCUCAAAUUACCUCCUCCACAGAUACCUCAUCUAAAUGAAGAGGAAGAGGAGCAGGAGCGGGAGGAAGAGGAAGAUGGGGAAUUUACUGCUAAUGAUGAGGACGCCGAGGAUGAAGAGGACACCAUAGCAGCACAGGAGAAGAUAGAAGGAAAUGUCGAUCAUGCAGAGGAGCUUGAUGACUUGAACAGAGAGGGGGAAAUGAGCAUUGAAGAGCUGCUGGAGAAGUAUAAAGGAGCUUAUGUGUCCGAUUUCGAAGAACCAUCUGGUUCUGGCUCAAAAGCAAGCUCCAAUUUGGAGGUUUCUGGUGACGAGGAGGUGGAGACUGAAGAAGAUGAGAGUGACGUUGAAAGCAACACAUCUUCCUCAGAUUCACCGGGAGACAGCGCUGAAGAUGAGGAAAGCGACAAGGAGGAGAUGAGUAAUGAGGAAGCAGAUGAUGAUGAAGGAAUGGAGCUUUUGCUGAAGGAGGGAGACGGCAGUCUGUCUUCUUCCGGCUCUCGACCAAAGAAAGAAAUCAGUCAUAUUGCUGCUACUGCUGAGAGCCUGCAGCCUAAAGGUUACACUCUGGCUACUACAAAGGUCAAGACUCCUAUUCCAUUCCUGCUUCAUGGCACUUUAAGAGAAUACCAGCACAUCGGGCUGGACUGGUUGGUCACCAUGUAUGAGAAGAAGCUGAAUGGAAUACUAGCAGAUGAAAUGGGUCUGGGUAAAACCAUCCAAACCAUUGCUCUGCUGGCUCACCUUGCCUGUGAAAAAGUGAACUGGGGCCCCCAUCUCAUCAUUGUCCCCACCAGUGUGAUGCUAAACUGGGAAAUGGAGUUGAAACGCUGGUGUCCCGGGUUCAAAAUCCUCACUUACUUUGGCAGCCAGAAGGAAAGAAAGCUUAAGAGACAGGGCUGGACGAAGCCGAACGCUUUCCACGUGUGCAUCACCUCAUAUAAGCUGGUGCUGCAGGAUCACCAGGCCUUUAGGCGGAAGUCUUGGCGUUAUUUAAUCCUCGACGAAGCUCAGAACAUCAAGAACUUCAAGUCCCAGCGUUGGCAGAGUCUGCUGAACUUCAACAGCCACCGGCGACUGCUGCUGACGGGAACGCCUCUCCAGAACAGCCUGAUGGAGCUUUGGUCCCUCAUGCACUUCCUGAUGCCUCACGUCUUUCAGUCCCACCGAGAGUUCAAGGAGUGGUUCUCGAAUCCGCUGACGGGGAUGAUUGAGGGCAGUCAGGAGUACAACGAGGGUCUGGUGAAGAGACUUCACAAGGUGCUGAGGCCGUUUCUUCUCAGGAGGAUCAAGGCUGACGUUGAGAAGCAGAUGCCCAAAAAAUACGAACAUGUGGUGCGCUGCCGUCUCUCUAAGAGGCAGCGAUUUCUCUACGACGACUUCAUGGCACAAGCUUCGACCCGUGAAACUUUAGCCAGUGGACACUUCAUGUCUGUGAUCAACAUUCUCAUGCAGCUCCGCAAAGUGUGCAACCACCCCAACCUGUUUGACCCCCGACCCAUCCAGUCGCCCUUCAUCACACAGCCCAUCGUCUUCUACACUGCCUCCAUAGUGCAGGAUGCACUGGACGUUCCCCCUCUCAAGCGCUGCGAUCUUUCGAUGUUUAAUUUGAUCGGUUUGGAGGGUCGCAUGACCCGUUACCAAGCAGACAACUUCCUGCCACGACAGAAGGUCACCCGGCAGCUGAUCCAGGAGAUAAUUGAGGCUCCGGCACCUACCACGGCAAGAACUAGAGAAUACACACACAGAGAUAUUCUUAACGGACCACCUCCUAAGGGGGAUAACAGACCGGUUUUGCUCAUGAAUAAACCUGUCUGCUCAGUUCCACCUACAACUCAGACUUCCAAACCUGCUGUUUCUGAAGUCUCCCCAGCUUCUGCACCUGCUCCUGUAGUUCAGCAAGCUGGUGAAGUGGUCAGCAUAGCACAGUUGGCUUCCCUGGCAGGCCGACCCGUUUCUUCGUGUCAGGGCAGUAAACCCGUCACCUUCCAACUUCAGGGCAACAAGCUGACUCUGUCGGGAGCCCAGAUUCAUCAGGUCCCAGCCGCUAGUCCACGCCCAGUUCAAGCACCCUCAACAAUGGUGAGCAGCCAGGGAGUUGUGAAGAUCGUUGUUCGUCAACCAACAGGCAAGGAAGGUGUGCCUGUGCCCACACUGGCAAUGGCCCCUUCUCCCCGUGUUGCUCCCCUGGCACCCUCACACCCGCACCCACAGAUCACUGCUGCCCCCCUCAGAAACACUGCUACCCCCCUCAGAAACACUGCUCCACUCCACCCCCAACCCCCCCGCCCCAUCCUUAAAGUAGUCCAACCGCCUUCAGCCAGCACAGAGCAGCCAGGUGAGAGCACAAGUGAUUUGAAUUCUGUCUGGGUUUUAUUUGAUUUCAGUGUCCGUUAUUUUUGUCAUCUGAAAGAAACAUAUAUUUUUAUGUCUUCUCGGAUUUAUGUUUUGCAUCAUCUUUCUUCUUUGAUUUCUUUUAUUCAACAGUCAUGGCUGGAUAAUACCCUCAAAGACCAGAUCAAAAGCCGACUGGACCUCAUUUCUCGAGUCAAUGAUCGUCAUUGUGGAGUAAAGCCGGUGUACGGUGUAGAGGUUCUUGACUUUCUGACGUUUCUACCUGGUCCUCAUCCAUCUCCUGCUGCUUUGGACUCUGAAGGAGAGUGGAGCCGGUCGGGUCACAACAGCUGUUUUCUCGCUUUAAAGGAGGCCAUCCACAGCGUUGAGGAACGGUUGGAGCUCCUCAGUGAUAAAAUAGACAGGUUUACAUUUGUUAUUCCUCCAGUCGAGGCUUCUCAGAUCUCCAUGCACUGCUGUCAUCCUCCUCCAUCUCUGCACCUCAAACAGGAAGUCUUUUCAUCUGCACUUUCAGCUCACGUUGCUCCUCUGACUCGUAGCCUUCAUCGUAUCCAGUGUAACACGAGGACUCAGUUCCCUGACCUGAGGCUCAUCCAGUAUGAUUGUGGUAAACUUCAGACUCUCCAUGUUCUGCUGCGAAAACUGAAGACGGAAGGGCACAGAGUGUUGAUUUUCACCCAGAUGACUCGCAUGCUAGAUGUGCUGGAGCAAUUCCUCAACUACCACGGGCACAUUUACCUGCGCUUGGAUGGCAGCACACGAGUAGAACAGAGACAGGCUCUUAUGGAGCGCUUUAACGCAGACCGCAGAAUCUUCUGCUUCAUUCUGUCGACGCGCAGUGGGGGCGUGGGGGUUAACCUCACUGGAGCCGACACCGUUGUGUUCUAUGACAGUGACUGGAAUCCGACCAUGGAUGCUCAGGCACAGGACCGUUGCCAUCGAAUCGGCCAGACCCGAGACGUCCACAUCUACAGGUUGAUCAGUGAGCGCACAGUGGAGGAAAACAUUCUAAAGAAAGCUAACCAGAAAAGGAUGCUGGGAGAUAUGGCGAUUGAAGGAGGAAACUUUACUACUGCCUUUUUCAAGCAGCAAACCAUCAGGGAGCUGUUUGAUGUCAACGAUGGUGAGAAGAGGGAUGUGGCAGUGGAGCUGUCCGUACCUCAGUCAGAGGAGGAGGAAGGUGUCACCAAACAAAGCACCACCAUUCUGGAGCAGGCGCUGUGUCGUGCUGAGGAUGAGGAGGAUAUAGUGGCUGCUUCUCAGGCCAAAGCGGAGCAGGUGGCAGAGCUGGCAGAGUUUAAUGAGAACAUACCGCUGGAUGACGGCGGGGAACAAGAGGAGGUGGAGGAGCUUUCCAAAGCUGAGCAGGAAAUUGCAGCUCUUGUUGAACAGGUGACUGGUGUUACAUUAAAUAUGCAACAUGUGUGGAGUUACGUGAUGAAACUGGAUUAUAAUUAUGACAAGGAAAUGUGGGUUGGCUUUACGAUAUUGUUGCACAAUAUUAACUGA